UAUUAUGAUGAGGAAAUCUCUCUAUCCAUUCAUUAAAUCUUUCCCAAGCAUCAUAAAAGGGUUCAUUAUGUUAUUGAAUAAAACUUGUGAAGACUUGUUGAUAAAACA